rnacentral:rRNA from 1 species
AUUGAACGCUAGCGGCAUGCCUUACACAUGCAAGUCGAACGAGUGGCGGACGGGUGAGUAAUAUAUCGGCACGUGCCCAGUCGCGGGGGAUAACUACUCGAACGAGUGGCUAAUACCGCAUACUGUUGGAUCGGCCGAUAUCGGAUUAGCUAGUUGGUGGGGUAAAGGCUCUCCAAGGCAACGAUCCGUAGCUGGUCUGAGAGGGCGACCAGCCACACUGGGACUGAGACACGGCCCAGACUCCUACGGGAGGCAGCAGUGGGGAAUUUUGGACAAUGGGGGAAACCCUGAUCCAGCCAUGCCGCGUGUGUGAGAAGGCCUUCGGGUUGUAAAGUACUUUUGGCAGAGAAGCGGUAUCUGCAGAAUAAGCACCGGCUAACUACGUGCCAGCAGCCGCGGUAAUAC